GCACCGCUGAUCUAGAUGUUGAGUGAAUCUCAGGGCUGUAAGCAGCCGAGCGUGGCUCUAGUGAUAUGGCUCUACACCUGGGAACAUGAAAUAAACCUAUGCCUGUGUAUAAAGGUUAUAGGGGCCUGGCCUCAGCGGAGGAAUCAUGUUUUUUCAAGGACUAAUGACUUUAUCAGAAUGAUAAUGAACUGAUGACACGUGGAAGCUCCCAGGCUCUGGAGAGAAGCCAGAGAACAACUGGGAACAGAAUGGAGACUGGACUCACUCUGAAGAAGAAACUUCUGGGGAGUUGGCCACUGAGACAGAAAGCAAAGUGAGAGGAGGAAGUUUAACAAUAUGUUGAGGGACUUCCCUGGUCAUCCAGUGUCUCAGACUCCUCACCCACAAUGCAGGAGACUCAAGUUUGAUCCAUGGUCAGAGAACUAGAUCCUGCACGCCGAAACUAAAUAUCCCGCAUGCCACAAUGAAGCUCAAAGAUCUUGCAUGCUCCAACCAA